GAUGAACGCUGGCGGCGUGCUUAACACAUGCAAGUCGAACGAAGCACCUUAUUCUGAUUUCUUCGGAAUGAAAAAUUUGGUGACUGAGUGGCGGACGGGUGAGUAACGCGUGGGUAACCUGCCUCAUACAGGGGGAUAACAGUUAGAAAUGACUGCUAAUACCGCAUAAGACCACAGCACCGCAUGGUGCAGGGGUAAAAACUCCGGUGGUAUGAGAUGGACCCGCGUCUGAUUAGGUAGUUGGUGGGGUAACGGCCUACCAAGCCGACGAUCAGUAGCCGACCUGAGAGGGUGACCGGCCACAUUGGGACUGAGACACGGCCCAAACUCCUACGGGAGGCAGCAGUGGGGAAUAUUGCACAAUGGGGGAAACCCUGAUGCAGCGACGCCGCGUGAGCGAUGAAGUAUUUCGGUAUGUAAAGCUCUAUCAGCAGGGAAGAAAAUGACGGUACCUGACUAAGAAGCACCGGCUAAAUACAUGCCAGCAGCCGCCGUAA
rnacentral:rRNA from 1 species